UUGGGUUAUGCCUUAGUACGGCGAGUGAGCGGCACAGCUCAAAUUUGAAAGCUGGCUCCUUUGGAGUCCGCGUUGUUUUUUGAAGAGGAUGAUUCGGCAAGGGCUCCCGCCUAAGUCUCCUGGAACGGAGCGUCAUAGAGGGUGAGAAUCCCGUAUGCGGUGGGCUGCCUAAGCCAUGUGAAUCUCCUUCGACGAGUCGAGUUGUUUGGGAAUGCAGCUCUAAAUGGGAGGUAAAUUUCUUCUAAAGCUAAAUACCGGCCAGAGACCGAUAGCGCACAAGUAUAGUGAUCGAAAGAUGAAAAGCACUUUGGAAAGAGAGUUAAAAAGUACGUGAAAUUGUUGAAAGGGAAGCGCUUGCACCCGGACUUGUCCGCUCUUGCUCAGCCGGCCUCCUGACCGGUGUACUCUUCUGGGCCCAGGCCAGCAUCAGUUCGGGCGGAAGGAUAAAGACCUCGGGAAUGCUCCUCCUCUCGGGGAGUGUUAUAGCCCGAGCUGGAAUGCGGCCAGCCUGGACUGACGAUCUCGCUUCGGGUAGGAUGCUGGAUUAAUGGCUGUAACCGGCCCAUCUACAAACACGAACCA
rnacentral:rRNA from 1 species